rnacentral:misc_RNA from 1 species
AAGGAUCAUUAACACGUGUUAUCCACGUAUAAACCACCGUGCACUCGUUCCGUUCUGCGGGCGGUAAGCCUUGCAAAGGGUGAUCUGAAAGGAUCUUCCUUGGCAGGGUGGUCUCGUCCUGUCUUUGGACCCCUUUCUUUUUCAUUAAAGGCUGGGUGUGCCUUAGGCGUUUUUUACUAUUAACCUUUUUUUAAUACUUCGACUAAACUGACUGUUGCUUCAGCGAAAGCUGAUCAACAAUAUCUAUUUAACUAUAGAACAACUCUUAGCAACGGAUAUCUUGGUUCUC